CCGUACAAGCGGUGGAGUAUGUGGUUUAAUUCGACGCAACGCGCAGAACCUUACCUAGACUUGACAUCCCGGGGAUUUUCUGGAAACAGAGAGUGCUUUAGCAAUAAAGAACCCGGUAACAGGUGCUGCAUGGCUGUCGUCAGCUCGUGUCGUGAGAUGUUGGGUUAAGUCCCGCAACGAGCGCAACCCUCGCCUUUAGUUGCCAGCAUUCAGUUGGGCACUCUAGAGGGACUGCCGGUGUCAAACCGGGAGGAAGGUGGGGAUGACGUCAAGUCCUCAUGGCCUUUAUGUCUAGGGCUACACACGUACUACAAUGGCCGGUACAAAGGGCAGCCACUCAGCGAUGAGGCGCUAAUCCCAUAAAGCCGGUCUCAGUCCGGAUCGCAGUCUGCAACUCGACUGCGUGAAGUUGGAAUCGCUAGUAAUCGUGGAUCAGAAUGUCACGGUGAAUACGUUCCCGGGUCUU
rnacentral:rRNA from 1 species